rnacentral:rRNA from 1 species
GAUGAACGCUGGCGGCGUGCCUAAUACAUGCAAGUCGAGCGAACAGACGAGGAGCUUGCUCCUCUGACGUUAGCGGCGGACGGGUGAGUAACACGUGGAUAACCUACCUAUAAGACUGGGAUAACUUCGGGAAACCGGAGCUAAUACCGGAUAAUAUAUUGAACCGCAUGGUUCAAUAGUGAAAGACGGCUUUGCUGUCACUUAUAGAUGGAUCCGCGCCGCAUUAGCUAGUUGGUAAGGUAACGGCUUACCAAGGCGACGAUGCGUAGCCGACCUGAGAGGGUGAUCGGCCACACUGGAACUGAGACACGGUCCAGACUCCUACGGGAGGCAGCAGUAGGGAAUCUUCCGCAAUGGGCGAAAGCUUGACGGAGCAACGCCGCGUGAGUGAUGAAGGUCUUCGGAUCGUAAAACUCUGUUAUUAGGGAAGAACAAAUGUGUAAGUAACUAUGCACGUCUUGACGGUACCUAAUCAGAAAGCCACGGCUAACUACGU